rnacentral:tRNA from 1 species
GCCGAGAUAGCUCAGUCGGU